rnacentral:rRNA from 1 species
UUCCUUUGAGUUUCAGCCUUGCGACCAUACUCCCCAGGCGGAGCACGUAACACUUUCGCUUCGGUCGGAAACCUAUGGAGGAGCCUCCAACCUAGUGCUCAUCGUUUACAGCUAGGACUACCGGGGUAUCUAAUCCCGUUCGCUACCCUAGCUUUCGUGCCUCAGCGUCAGAAAAGACCCAGUGAGCCGCUUUCGCCACAGGUGUUCCUAAUGAUAUCAACGCAUUUCACCGCUCCACCAUUAGUUCCGCUCACCUCUAUCUUCCUCUAGCUUGGCAGUUUUGAGCGCAGUUCCUCGGUUGAGCCGAGGGAUUUCACACCCAACUUGUCAUGCCGCCUACGCACCCUUUAAGCCCAGUGAUUCCGAAUAACGUUUGGACGGUUCGUCUUACCGCGGCUGCUGGCACGAACUUAGCCCGUCCUUCCUCUGAAGAUAGGUCAACUAUGGGGGAGAACCCCCAUAGAUUUCCUCCCAACUGACAGCGGUUUACAACCCGAAGGCCUUCAUCCCGCACGCGGCGUCGCUCCGUCAGGCUUUCGCCCAUUGCGGA